GGUUAUGCCAUAGGGACCAGAUGUUGAAAAGAGCUUAUCUUACUAAACCACCGGGCGGGGGGGGGGGGGCGCCGCAAACCAAAAGUAUGUAUGGUCUCUGAAGUGAUGGAAAAUUACUGUGAGUUGGAUUUUUUUUUUUUAAAUGCUAUAUAAACCCUUGGCUUUGAGUGCUCGGGGUCCUUGUAGAAGCUUGCUGCGUUGGGCAGAUACUCGGACUCCAGCUAGCUGGAAAUAAACCUCGAUGUGUGACUUGCAUUAUCGAACCGUGGAAGGAGGAUUGCCCACCUCAGUCUGGAGAAAAAUUUCUCACCUGGAGGGACUGAAGGUCCAUCUGGAUCUGGUAAAGAAUUCUCAUCUGGGUGGGUGAAAGGGUUGCGACCCUGGAGGUUCCAUUACUGGAAGUCGCGGGAGACGUCCCCAACGAAAGGGUGCCAGAACGACGUCCACAGUGAACGCCGUUUUGAUGGCUAGACUGUGUUCUUUGGAAUGAAGUCAUUAUGCACAGCCCACAUGCAAGGAUUGGAGAGUUAUAAUGCACCUCCUUGGUGUAUGCACUGCCAAGUUUUCUGAAGAGACUGAGAUUUUACCCUAUGUGAUGGCUAUUGAGCUGGCCUAUUAUGGUUUCAUGAAAGCUGGCAGAAGACACGAGAUUUCUGGUCGAAAACAGGACUUUACUCAUGGCACACCAAGAAACUUGAGCUUCUUGUAUCAGUUCUCCAUGUCCCCAAAGUCCCAGAGACAUGAAGCAGGUGGGCCUAGACAGAUGCCUACCCACAAGGUCGUGGGUUAUGUUACAGAAACCUGAACGGGAAUAAUCAGAGUCACUACGGUACUGAGCAUUUAUGUUCUAUGGCUACAACCGCUGUGACCUCAGACGUGUUAACCAGAAUGAAGCAAGACUGUUCACACGUGGUUUCUUCCUCAAGGGCUCAAAGAAUGCUGAUAUUCUCAGGUAUGUAAAUGGACCCCAGAAAACUCCUAAGAAGGACAGUCCCAGGAAGGAAUACUAUUCUUGGAGUCUCUCUAUCCACACGUUCCUAGAAGCCAGUGUCGGGAUAAUUCAUGAUCUAAAAUUCCCGUCCUAAUAGCUGGUCUCAGUAUGUUUUCCCGCCAGCAGUCACUUCUCUGUAGUAGUCACACGUGGCUGACAGGAAGGUGGAGGAAGCGGCAGCGAACCCAGAGCCAGCGGUCCCAGGGCCACUCACCAUAGAGCUACCACAACCCAAGCUCAGAUGAACGACACGCACCUUACGCCUCCGUCACAGGAAAGCAACCACGCACCUAUCCUAGUCUUAACCACUGCACCCUAGCUCCGCCUCCCACAAAUACGCACCCUUUCCGUCCUUCUCACAGGGGCACAAGCACUCUCCUCUGCGGCUCGAGCACCCACAGGCCUGAAGGGACCGCCACUCGCCGUCCACGCGGACUCCACGCUGCGUCCGCACAGCCUUUUCCGCGGCGGCACACAAGGAUGUCUGCCUCAUACUGGGGCCACUCACGCGCGGCGCCCAACAAAGGACACGCUGAGAGAGCCCGAGGUCCCAGUCACGACGCGCACCGUGGAACACGGAGCGUAGGGUCGUAAAAGUCCUGUAAAGUAAAGCCUCAGGCCCCGCGCGAGAAACUGGGAGACUUCUGGGAGUGGCCGCUCGGCCUGGCCGUGCGCAAGCGCACAGGACAGACCUGCUGGAGGCCAACUCCUGAGGCGAAGGGUUGAUGUCCGGGUUGUGCUUGCUUGAAGAAGGCGAGUCCGGCUGAUACCCGACCAGGGAGCUCUGAGAAGGGCACUGCGGAGCUUUUCUCUUCCAAGGCCUCAGGCGUGUGUGUGAGGGUCCGCCCUGUUGUGAGGGUCAGUGAUGUGGCCCCGAGGACCAUGGUGUGCUUGCCAGGCUGUGAGCAUCUGAAUGUGGGAUGCUGAGUUUGUUGUGUCCCCUGAAAUAAAGACAGCCUGUUCAGUAAUGUAUGUAAAUAUCAACUUUUAUACUCAGGGAAAGGUCUAGAGUGUCCAAUGAAGUGUUAAGGAAAUGAUUAUAAAGUGUUAAGGAAAUGGUUGCUUUCCUGUGACGUGACAUUCUUCAUUCCAUUGCAUUCUUCAUCCUUAGAAACAUUAAAGAUGGACUGAAUUAAUUAGAAAUGGCAAAAAAAAAAAAACCUGAAGAAAUAUCUUGUAAAUAUUUUUAUUAUUUUGGUUUAGGCUACAGGUUUUCUAAACAUAAGCAAGGCGAGGAAUCCAGAGAGAAUUUUCACAUAAUCGUUAUUUGUAAAUCUUUAUGGUUAUUUAUAAAUACCCCAAAUAUUUGAAUAGUAUAAGUAAAUAAAGCAAAACCAAAAACAACAUCAUGAAUUUGGGGGAAAUAUUUAUAACAUUAAAUGGACAAACAAGUAUUAAUUUAAUGUCUGUCACUUAAAAUAUUGGUCAAUACCCUGAAGAGAAAAAGGAGCAGAGACUAAAAAAUUAAUCAUUCACAAAUACCAAUAAAGUAGUCAAAAAACAUAGUGGAGCCACAACCUAAGACUUCUUGAUUAUGAAGGGGUGGAAAAGUAAUCACUUCUGAGCAGCUGGUUGAGACCCCUGUAAUAAAAGACAAGAUUAACAGCAGAAAAACAGCUUAUCGAGAUGGGCAGCAGGUAUCACCUAGGAGAAAUCUAAAACAAAAACGGCUCAAAUAGGUGGCUUAGAAUUCCAGAUUAUAUACCAUCGUCAACAAAGCAUACGUUUAUAGAAAAUGACAGGACAAAAGAAAGCAGUUUUAGGCUUCUAAGAGCAGCAAACUGUGGGAAGGUAAGUAUCAAGAGGAAACAAAUGGAGUAGGGUUUGUUUGCAGAUUCCUCUGAUGCCCUCUCUGGGGUGAGUAGAGUCUGUCUCCUGCAAAAUAAUUUUUUUGCCUUUAGGCAGAAAAUGGGGAGUUCUUUCUGGGUUUGCAUCUCCUUUUUUUUUUUUUAAGAUUUUAUUUACUUAUUUGGUAGAGGUCACAAGUAGUCGGAGAGGUGGGCAGAGAGAGAGGGGGAAGCAGGUUCCCUGCUGAGCAGAGAGCCCGUUGUAGGGCUCGAUCCCAGGACCCUGAGACUUUGACCUGAGCUGAAGGCAAAGGCUUUAACCCACUGAGCCACCCAGGCACCCCUGGGUUUAUAUCUUCUUAAUUGCCUUCAGCUCAGAGUAACUUUUAUGUCAAGGAGGCAUAUUUAGAGGUGACAUAUUCUGGUUUCCUUCAGUCACUUCUCUCUUUCAUUAAAUCAGUUCUUAGAUGAAUUGCUCAUGAAUCUCCUGAAUAAUCCUAUACACCUACCAUUUCUAAAACUGUCCUUAGCAGGCUCUUUCUCCUCAUUUUCUUUAUAUAUUUUUUCAUAGGCUACCACGUUCUUUUUAUUAGCAUCAUUGGUCUCUUCCUUAUAUAUAUGAAAAAUAUCAUGAAUUACUUACUAAGUUUUCCCUGAAAUUCUUGCUGGUCCUCAAUAACCCCUCAACUAGGCAAUAGGCCAGGAGGCAUUUCUGUCCUCUUGGUCAGGUACAGAAGAAAGAAACAAAAAUCAAAACUCUUCAAUUUCACAAUUGAGGUCUAGCUGAUCGCCUACAAAUAUUAUGCUCCCCUUAAGAACAUUUAAGUUUAUUUGACUUUCUGGAAGUUCUUAAUGGGGAGCAAGAGAGGAAGAUCCUAAAGCAUCACAGACAAGGUUCUUGCCCACACAUGCUGUUCUGAGUGCCUAGAUCCAAAUGAAAAAUUAAAGAUUUAUAAGGUUAUUUAUUUUUAAAACUAUUUUAUUUAUUUGAUGGAGAGAGAGCGAGUGAGCAUGCAAGCAUGCACAAGCAGGAGGAGCAGCAGGGAGAGGGUGAGAGCGAAGCAGGCUUCCUGUUGAGCAGGGAGCCCAAUGCAUCCCCUUUAAUCGAAGUUUUAAAAAGUGUUAUAAUUGGGGUGCCUGGGUGGCUCAGUCGGUUAAGCCGCUGCCUUUGGCUUGGGUCAUAAUCUCGGGGUCCUGGGAUCGAGUCCUGCAUCGGGCUUUCUGCUCAGCGGGAAGCCUGCUUCCCUCUCUCUCUCUCUCUGCCUGCCCCUCUGUCUACUGUGAUCUGUGUCUGUCAAAUAAACAAAUAAAAUCUUAAAAAAAAAAUAAAAGUGUUAUAAUUGACCUUAAAAAUUCUGGAAUGUGUAACUCUUUCUUAAGGAUGGGCCACACAGAUUGACUUGCUUCUGAAAAGAAAGAUCUCAAUAAAAGUAGGGCAAACUAAAAAUAAAGAAAGCAGAGGUGCCUGACUGGCUGGGUAGUUAGAGUGUGACUCUUAAUCUGAGGGUGGUGAGUUAGAGCCACACGUUAGGUAUAGAGAUUAGUUUAAAAAAAAAACAAAAGGCAGAAAGAAGGAAAUAACAAAGAUUAAGGCAGAAAAUAAUUCAACAGAAAAUAGAAAACAAAAUAAAAACCAAUAAAAUAUUUAUGAUAAAACGUGCAAACUAUUCCUACUAUAUAACCUGUAUAUAUCUUAUCAUUUACUGUGUGAACUGCUAAUAUAAUGUCUAAUUUGUUCAAUUAAAAAUAAAAGGGGGGCACCUGGGUGAGCUCAGAUGGUUAAGAUUCUGCCUUUGGCUCAGGUCAUGAUCUUAGGGUCCUGGGAUCCAGCCCCAAGUCAGGCUCUUUGCUCAGUGGGGAGUCUGUUUCUCCCUCUCCUUCUGCCUCUCGCCUCUGCUCAUAUUUUAUCUCUCUAUCUUAAAUUAAUGAAUGAAAAUCUUAGGGAAAAAUCCCUUAAAAAUUAAAGGAAAAAGUAUCAAGGAACUACAUCAUAGCAACUUUUAAGGGAGGGUUGAAGUGGAAGCAUUUUUAAAAAAUUCAUUCAUUUGUUUUUGAGAUCUGCUUAAUGUAGACACUCAAGGCCUGGGCAGAGUGGGGGAGUGGCCAGGAACUGGACAGGCAGGCAAGGUGGGUGGUCACAUGCCCAUACCUGGCCCCAGGUAUGGUGGGGGUGGGCCCAGGCACCCCAAGGGGAGUACCAGAAGGGUGGCCCAGGCAGAUAGACCUACUAGGGGACCUGUAGGCCAGGCCUUGAGAAGGUAUCUAAGUCAGGUGCUGAGUACUCAUGGCCAAAGCCUAGCCCAGGGUGGAAGGAUUGGGUCCUGGUUGUGAGCUAGAGGAGCCUAGGGUCCUCCCUGAGCUGGACUCAAGACAUGAUCUGCUGAUUGGACUCAGGCAGCUCCUAGAGACAGAUGUGGAGGUAGAGGUUUUCUUCCAGGUGGUCCAGACAUGAGCUGAUCUGGUCCAACACAAAGCUGAUGGCAGCAUCUUCUGCUUCCCUAAAGCCAUUAUCCUCGUCUUUCCCUCUCACCUGCACAGGCUUGCCCAGAUCCAGGUUGGAGUGACAUCUGGCUGGGGAGCCAAAAGGGCCUUACAAUCAUUGAUGGGGUACAUGUUCCAUCAACAGCUACCACCUGGCAGUAGGUGGAGAUGCCAGAUUGAAAUUGAAGCUCCUUUUUUUAGAGAGAGAGAAUGCACAUGUGGGUAUGGGGUAGGGGGAGCGCAGAGAGUAAGGGAGAGAGAAUAUUUAUUUAUUUGAUAGAGAUCACAAGUAGGCAGAGAGGACAGGCAGAGAGAGAGAGAGGGACAAGCAGGCUCCCCGCUGAGCAGAGAGCCCGAUGUGAGGCUCGAUCCCAGGACCCCAAGAUCAUGACC
rnacentral:lncRNA from 1 species